rnacentral:rRNA from 1 species
GACACAGGUGGUCGGGUAGAGAAUACCAAGGCGCUUGAGAGAACUCGGGUGAAGGAACUAGGCAAAAUGGUACCGUAACUUCGGGAGAAGGUACGCUCCUGUCGGUGAAGUCCCUUGCGGAUGGAGCUAACGGGAGUCGCAGAUACCAGGUGGCUGCAACUGUUUAUUAAAAACACAGCACUGUGCAAAAUCGUAAGAUGACGUAUACGGUGUGACGCCUGCCCGGUGCCGGAAGGUUAAUUGAUGGGGUUAGACGUAAGUCGAAGCUCUUGAUCGAAGCCCCGGUAAACGGCGGCCGUAACUAUAACGGUCCUAAGGUAGCGAAAUUCCUUGUCGGGUAAGUUCCGACCUGCACGAAUGGCGUAAUGAUGGCCACGCUGUCUCCACCCGAGACUCAGUGAAAUUGAAAUCGCUGUGAAGAUGCAGUGUACCCGCGGCUAGACGGAAAGACCCCGUGAACCUUUACUACAGCUUGGCACUGAACAUUGACCCUACAUGUGUAGGAUAGGUGGGAGGCUUUGAAACCGGUACGCCAGUAUCGAUGGAGCCGUCCUUGAAAUACCACCCUUGUAGUGUUGAUGUUCUAACUUAGACCCAUUAUCUGGGUUGAGGACAGUGCCUGGUGGGUAGUUUGACUGGGGCGGUCUCCUCCCAAAGAGUAACGGAGGAGCACGAAGGUGGGCUAAUCACGGUUGGACAUCGUGAGGUUAGUGCAAUGGCAUAAGCCCGCUUGACUGCGAGAAUGACAAUUCGAGCAGGUGCGAAAGCAGGUCAUAGUGAUCCGGUGGUUCUGUAUGGAAGGGCCAUCGCUCAACGGAUAAAAGGUACUCCGGGGAUAACAGGCUGAUACCGCCCAAGAGUUCAUAUCGACGGCGGUGUUUGGCACCUCGAUGUCGGCUCAUCACAUCCUGGGGCUGAAGUCGGUCCCAAGGGUAUGGCUGUUCGCCAUUUAAAGUGGUACGCGAGCUGGGUUUAGAACGUCGUGAGACAGUUCGGUCCCUAUCUGCCGUGGGCGUUGGAAGAUUGAAGGGGGCUGCUCCUAGUACGAGAGGACCGGAGUGGACGAACCUCUGGUGUUCGGGUUGUCAUGCCAAUGGGCAUUGCCCGGUAGCUAAGUUCGGAAUCGAUAACCGCUGAAAGCAUCUAAGCGGGAAGCGAGCCCUGAGAUGAGUCUUCCCUGACUCCUUGAGAGUCCUAAAGGGUUGUUCGAGACUAGAACGUUGAUAGGCAGGGUGUGUAAGCGUUGUGAGGCGUUGAGCUAACCUGUACUAAUUGCCCGUGAGGCUUAACCAU